GGAUUGUGGCUCAGUGGUAGAGCGCCCACCUAGCAUGCGCAAGACCCUGGGUUCGAUCCUCAGCACCA
rnacentral:tRNA from 1 species